CAGCGAAGGCGAGCUGUCUGGAAGCUUCCACCCCUCCCUGCUGAGCAACUACUAAAAAUCUUUUAUCAACAGAGGUCUUGCUUGCUGUAAACACAAGGAGGGAAAACAGAGGCACAAGCACAACACCACCAUCUUCAACUCACACCCUAUUAUAGACAGAAUCUCUUCCAGUGUUUCUCAGCCUGGGCAACUUUAAGAAGUAGGAACUUCAACUCCCAGAAUUCCCCAGCUGCAAACGGCCAUAAAUCCGGGCAGAUUUCCAAGUGCCCAAAAUGUGAUCAUGUGACCGAUGAAAGGACAACCAUCAGAACUUCAAAUCUAGGUCGAAUGCCUUCUUAUCAAGGGGAUUGAUGAGAACCUGCUACCAAGUUACUUAGGAAUGCUUUUAGUGUAGGAAUGUUGGUGAUAAGGUAGAAGCUUUGGCAUGCCUUCCAACAUUUAGUUGAAUCAAACCCUUGGCUGAACCACGUUGUAUGACUACUAAAAUGCAGGGCUUUUUUUUGUUAUAGAACGCCCAGAACGGCGUUCUGGCACCUUUUUUGGAUGGAAACUUGUCGGGUAGGCAAGGCAGGUUGUAUGACGUGUGUGAGUUCUGGCCAGAACAGGAGCC